rnacentral:tRNA from 4 species
GGGCCUAUAGCUCAACGGUUAGAGCAGAGGACUCAUAAUCCUUUGGUUCACGGUUCGAAUCCGUGUGGGCCCACCA